rnacentral:rRNA from 1 species
GACGAACGCUGACGGUGUGCUUUAGACAUGCAAGUCGAACGAGAAAGCCCUUCGGGGUUAGUAAAGUGGCGAACGGGUGAGUAACACGUGGGCAAUCUGCCCCUCGCAGGGGGACAACCGGAGGAAACCCCGGCUAAUACCCCGUAAGUUCAAAGGGAGGCAUCUCCCCUUGAAGAAAGGUAGCUUCGGCCAUCCGGCGAGGGAUGAGCCCGCGGUGCAUUAGCUAGUUGGUGGGGUAACGGCCCACCAAGGUGACGAUGCAUAGCUGGUCUGAGAGGAUGAUCAGCCACACUGGGACUGAGACACGGCCCAGACUCCUACGGGAGGCAGCAGUCGGGAAUCUUGCGCAAUGGGCGAAAGCCUGACGCAGCAACACCGUGUGUGUGAGGAAGGCCC